rnacentral:rRNA from 1 species
AGAGUUUGAUCCUGGCUCAGAACGAACGCUGGCGGCGUGGAUCAGGCAUGCAAGUCGAACGAUCGCUGUUGUUUCCAAGGUUUCGGCUGAGGAGACGACUGUGAUAGUGGCGAAAGGGUGAGUAACAGGUGGGUAAUUUACCCUCGAGAUGGGGAUAACUUUGCGAAAGCGAGGCUAAUACCGAAUAUAGCUUCCUGGAGGCAUCUCCGGGAAGUGAAAGCUGGGGACCUUAACCGGCUGCCACUCGAGGAGAAGCCCGCUUCCUAUUAGCUUGUUGGUGAGGUAACGGCCCACCAAGGCAAAGAUGGGUAGCCGGACUGAGAGGUCGACCGGUCACACUGGGACUGAGACACUGCCCAGACUCCUACGGGAGGCUGCAGUCGAGAAGCUUCCGCAAUGGGCGAAAGCCUGACGGAGCGACGCCGCGUGGAGGAUGAAGGUCUUCGGAUUGUAAACUCCUGUCACAUGGGAAGAAGUCCCUCAAAAAGUCUGACGGUACCAUGAGAGGAAGCCCUGGCUAACUCCGUGCCAGCAGCCGCGGUAACACGGUGAGGGCGAGCGUUGUUCGGAUUCACUGGGCGUAAAGGGUGUGCAGGCGUCUCCGUAAGUCGAGUGUGAAAUACCUCCUCUCAAGGGAGGAACGGCACUCGAUACUGCGGGGAUAGAGUUCAGGAGAGGAGAGCGGAAUUCUCGGUGUAGCGGUGAAAUGCGUAGAUAUCGAGAAGAACAUCUGUGGCGAAGGCGGCUCUCUAGCCUGAAACUGACGCUGAGACACGAAAGCCAGGGGAGCGAACGGGAUUAGAUACCCCGGUAGUCCUGGCCGUAAACGAUGUGCACUUGGUGUUCCUCCGCGAGGGGGAGUGCCAAAGCUAACGCAUUAAGUGCACCGCCUGGGGAGUACAGUCGCAAGGCUGAAACUCAAAGGAAUUGACGGGGGCCCGCACAAGCGGUGGAGCAUGUGGCUCAAUUCGAUGCAACGCGAAGAACCUUACCGGGGUUUGACAUGACGGUCGUAUCCAGCGAAAGCUGGAGUCAGUUCGGCUGGACCGCCACAGGUGCUGCAUGGCUGUCGUCAGCUCGUGCCGUGAGGUGUUGGGUUAAGUCCCGCAACGAGCGCAACCCCUGUCCUUAGUUGCCAGCCCCGAGCGAAAGCGAGGGGGGCACUCUAGGGAGACUGCCCCAGUUAAUGGGGAGGAAGGUGGGGACGACGUCAAGUCAUUAUGGCCCUUAUGUCCCGGGCUGCACACGUGCUACAAUGGUCGGCACAGAGGGUUGCGAAACCGCGAGGUGGAGCUAAUCCCAAAAAGCCGGCCCCAGUUCAGAUUGAGGUCUGCAACUCGACCUCAUGAAGUCGGAAUCGCUAGUAAUGGCGCAUCAGCUACGGCGCCGUGAAUACGUUCCCGGGCCUUGUACACACCGCCCGUCACAUCACGAAAGCUGGUUGUACCCGAAGUCGCUGAUCCAACCCGCAAGGGGGGAAGGCGCCGAAGGUAUGGCUGAUGAUUGGGAUGAAGUCGUAACAAGGUAACC